CCCAGUCUUUCAUGGCGGCGUGGAAGACUUUGGCCCAAAAAAAAAUCAAAAUCUCGUCCCUGUAUGCACAAAUCCAAGUUUGUCUUUGCUAUUGAAAUAAUUUCCCCAGACCCCUCCAUUGUCAAGGCAAAAACACUUUUGUUGUUAUUCUAAAAAACUUCACCAAUUUAAAAAGUCUGAGGUUUGUUGCUUCAACAAAAUGAAUUACAUAAACAAGGGUAAUUAAUCAUAUAUGAGGCCCCAGAUAGAGCAAUCAUGCACACAACAACUGAAGGUUACUUUGUACCAGUAUAGCUUCUGCCUAUUUUAUUAUUCUGUUUAUGGAGGCGAUGAUUGAUGCUUGAGGCAAGUCAGCUGUUUGAUACAGAAUAUUUAUUUCCAAGGAGCAGAACAACAAUACAGCGUGAUCAUGAUGGAUUAUUUUAUAGACACCAACCUCCAUCCCGCUGAUGCGUCGAUCGUUCCAAGGCGCAGGUGAUCACGGGCGGUAUCGCUGCACUAAGUGGUUCUGCAUAUGUCGGGCGUUUCAGACCAAUUCCCUGCAGAGAGUCGUCGGCCAACACACCCGCCCUCCAUCUCAGAUCCCAACAGGAGAGCAAGUAAGAGGAUAACGUGAUGCCUCCAGGCCACAGCAGCUGCACCACCCGAUGGACUCUCCAGGCUCUGAAUGAGGACAGGUGAUUGCAUCAUCAGCUUGUCAGCAAGUCCGGUCUAAC
ensembl:lncRNA